rnacentral:rRNA from 1 species
AUGGCUCAGGAUGAACGCUAGCUACAGGCUUAACACAUGCAAGUCGAGGGGCAUCAUGGAGUUGCUGCAAACUCUGAUGGCGACCGGCGCACGGGUGAGUAACGCGUAUCCAACCUUCCCUAUAGUAGAGGAUAGCCCGGCGAAAGUCGGAUUAAUACUCUAUGUUUUCCGUUGCAGACAUCUAAGAUGGAACAAAGGCUUGCCGCUAUAGGAUGGGGAUGCGUCUGAUUAGGUAGUCGGCGGGGUAACGGCCCACCGAGCCAUCGAUCAGUAGGGGUUCUGAGAGGAAGGUCCCCCACAUUGGAACUGAGACACGGUCCAAACUCCUACGGGAGGCAGCAGUGAGGAAUAUUGGUCAAUGGGCGAGAGCCUGAACCAGCCAAGUAGCGUGCAGGACGACGGCCCUAUGGGUUGUAAACUGCUUUUAUGCGGGGAUAAAGUUCACUACGUGUAGUGUUUUGUAGGUACCGCAUGAAUAAGGACCGGCUAAUUCCGUGCCAGCCGCUGC